rnacentral:misc_RNA from 1 species
GGAUGGAUCAUUCCUUGUUGUUGUUCAUUUCAACUGAGCAAUCAACUCUUUCCUGGAUUUCUUAACAACUACCACCAAAUUAUUAGAUUCAAAUUUAAAACUCUCAACGAUGGAUAACUAGGCUCUGGGUAUGAAGAAGGACGCAGCAAACCGCGAAAGUUGUUAUGAUGUGCUAUCUUCAAGACUAAUCUGUAUCUGAACGCAUUUGUACUAUUCCGUCAGGAAAGUAUUGACGACUCUGUGAUAUUUCGUAUUUACCUUACAGCAAUGUAAGGUGUUUAAGCAAGUUCUUCGACUUGUAUGCUUUAUUUGUGUUCUUGCAAUCAUCGGGUUGAUGCAUCUGAGCUACAAACAAACUAUUUCCAGAGUUCGACAAAAGAUACCCGCUGAAUUUAAGCAUAUUAUUAAGCGGAGGAACAGAAACCAACAGGGAUACCCCCAUUAGCGGCGAGCGAAAAGGGUACUGCCCAAAAUGUGAAACUGCUCCGGCAGUGUUGUGCAUUUUGAGCUUAACACCGUAUUGACUUUUGUUAAAUGGUUUGAAUACCAUACCAUGGAAGGUGAUAGUCCUUUGAAACAAAGUUGGCAAUAUGAAUGUUUUGCUCUGUUAGAGUCACGCUCCUUGGGAGUGGAGCGCAAAAAUGGUGGUAAUCUCCAUCAAUGGCUAAAUAUCACCCAGAGACCGAUAGCAAACAAGUACCAUGAGGGAAAGUUGAAAAGCACUUCGAAAGGAGAGCUAACAGACUUGAAAUCGUUGAGAGGGAAGCGAGUACACGUUGCCGUUCGCUGUGUUUCACAGUUUCGAACAAACCAUUUGCCAAAUGCUGGUUCAUGGUUUGAUGCGUUUGUACACGACCCGUCUUGAAACACGGACCAAGGAGUUAGUCAAUUGUGCGAGUGUAAGAGGUAUAACCUUGCACGCGUAGUGAAAGCAAUAGUUGUGAAAUGUGCAGCAACGGCCAGACUUUAUGUUUGUGCUUGAGCAUAAUUGAUUAGACCCGAAAGAUGGUGAUCUAUACCUGAGUUGGGUGAAGCCAGGGGAAACCCUGGUGGAGGCUCGUAGCGAUACUGACGUGCAAAUCGUUCGUCGAACUUGGGCAUAGGGGCGAAAGACUAAUCGAACCAUCUAGUAGCUGGUUCCCUC